CAAGAACAGGGGCAUAUCCAUUUCCAAUCUGGCCAGGGUGAUUCAUGAUGAUCACUUGAGAUGUGAAAUUAGCAGCCUCCUUAGCUGGGUCAUCCUUGGAGUUUGAGGCAACAUAACCACGCUUGAGAUCCUUGACAGCAACAUUCUUAACAUUAAAUCCAACAUUGUCACCGGGAAGGGCCUCAGUGAGAGCUUCAUGGUGCAUCUCUACAGACUUGACUUCAGUUUGAAGUCCACUUGGCGCAAAAGUCACC
rnacentral:lncRNA from 1 species